UACACCUUAGAAAUACAAUAACUUGGGGGCAUAGCUUAGAAAAACCCUAUAUUUUUUUUCUCUCCCCUCUUCCACCAUCACACAUACUCUCCUCUUCUUUCUCAAUCCCGUAUAACCCUCUCAUACCCCUUAAAACUCAUCAAUUUUUCACAUUUUACUCAUCAAUUCUUCAAGAAUUUGAUCCCACUACUAUUACUAUACUUAUCUACCAAAAAUUCCCCAUCUAAGCUCACUAUGAAACCCCACACUCAUCAAAAUUCGAAAACCCUAAAUUUGUCAACGAAUUUAGGGGUUUCCUUUUGGGUUUAAUUGAAGCAAUUUGGUGAAGUGGGAAGCAUCUCAAGAGGAUCAAGGCUACACAAUCGUUGUCAAUUGUGGGUAUUCUUAAUACCCACUACAACUUUGGCAUCCCCCACACCUCGAAGGUGAUCCAUUACUGGUGGGAGGCGGCCCGGUACAUAUGGAGGAAGAUGCCCCCGUAAAUCAAGGUGCUCAAGGUAAUCAACAACUACCGGCUUUGGAGGAGCAGAUAGUGGAUUUAAGGACUGAUAUCACUACUAUGAGGUCCAAUCACUACUACAAAAAGCGUGUUUUUUGGACGCUUUUUAGGCCUUUUUCCGAUGUUAAAAAGCGUCGAAAAAAUAUUUCUCGACGCUGCUAAAAAGUCAAAAAUACGUGAGUCGAGAAUUUCAAGACACAAAAAAGCGUCAAGAAGCUCGACGCUUUUUUGUGUCCUGACUAAUAUACGAAGUGUCGAAAAUUAUGUAUUUCGCGCAUUAUCCCAAAUGUGUGUAGUUUUUUAGCGACGUUUUUACAUAUCCACAUAAUCAAAUUUAGCGACGCAUUUUGUUGUCUUGCGUUUAUUCGUGUCAA